UUUCGGAUUAUUUUGUAUCGUUU
rnacentral:snRNA from 1 species